rnacentral:lncRNA from 10 species
GACUCAGUGUCCUUCCAGCGCGCUUUAUGUCCCGGAACUGAAAGAAAUGAGGUCUCACUGUGUUACCCAGUCUCAAACUGAGCUCAAGUGAUCUUCCCAUCUCAGGUGCCUCCCAAAGUGCUGGGAUUAUAGGUAUGACCUACCUUGACUGGCCUGUAUAUUCUUAGAGAUUGCAUUUUGUGGGCAGGGAGGGAGGUGAGUCCGAAGCUUGCUUGCCUUCCCUAGGCAUGCCGUCCUCCAGGAACCUCCACAUGUUCAGCUGUCCAGAGUGGCCCAUUAGAUUGAAAGAAUAUGGAAAGCCAUUGGGGAGCUGUUCCGCAGUGCACAGGUCUAUGCACACUUACCCCCAAAGUCCAAGG